AUUUAUUAAAGACAUGUCUAUUUUAAAAUUGUUCUCGUCAGAAUGUAGUAGAGUUAAAAUGGUUAUUCCAUCAAACUUCCAAUUAUUAGAAUAGUACACAACGCAGAACAGAACAACCAGGUUGAGGGUCAGUGGCCAAAGCCCGCGAACAGGAAUAUUCCAAGUUCAGACAGAGGGGGUAGUCAGAUCGCUAUGAUCGCAAGGAACUUUACUUUUGGUGUCUAUUUUUAAUUGUUACGCUACUGGUGCUGCCUGUUGAUGUUAGGUAGGCAGCUACAGGAGCUGAAUGAUGUCAACAUCUUCGGGUUUUAUUUCAUUAAAUGUAUUUUAUUUCAUCCGUGUGCUUGUCACCUACUAACACCCUGGUACUACCCGUAGCUCCCGCUCUCCUCGGUCCGAGAAAACACGGAGAGAGAAAAAUCAACAUAAAAGCCUAAAAGACAGCCGUGGUGUCGCUCUUCAUUUCUUGGUUCUCCUGUGGUACAUAAGAAACCCGCUACAAGAACAUGGAUAAAAGCAGGAAUCUCUCGUGCCAAGAUUCAUCAGCCGUUAUACAAAUAUGAUACAAAACACCAGCUGAGUGGCACCGGCUGCAUCAGUGA